UGGGCAUAUAUCCAGAAGAUG
rnacentral:piRNA from 1 species